UACGGAGGGUGCAAGCGUUGUUCGGAAUCACUGGGCGUAAAGGGCGUGUAGGCGGUCUGCUAAGUCUGAUGUGAAAUCCCCUCGCUCAACGAGGGAACUGCGUCGGAUACUGGCAGACUCGAGUACCGGAGAGGAAGGUGGAAUUCCCGGUGUAGCGGUGAAAUGCGUAGAUAUCUGGAGGAACACCGGUGGCGAAGGCGGCAUUCUGGACUGUAACUGACACUGAGGAACGAAAGCCAGGGGAGCAAACGGG
rnacentral:rRNA from 1 species